UGAAAACUGUAACAUCCUGGUUGUUGGAUAGUGGCAGAGACUGUUGUAUCAAACGUGGUGGAAUCAGAGAAUGAGAGGCCUCUAGUGGCCGAAAGGCCAUAUUAGCAUGGGCAGCGCCAUUGAGGGCUUCCACCAUUUUAAUGUAGUCAACUGUCGUGGUUGUUCCAUGUCAUGUCCAACUGGGUCAUCAGGAGUGAUCAGCCAAUCGUGAAGAAGAAAAUUUAGUAAUUCAAAAUGGAAUUUGCCUCAAUAGUCCUUUUGCACAACGUAGCAACGCCCACUUCUGUUCAACUUCUUACCCGAUACAUAGCUUCCUCUCCCGAUUGCAUCCUGUCAUGAUGAUUGUAGCCAUUCUAGCCUCGAAUUCACUCGUUUUAUCAUUAUCUCAGUAUAUUAAUAUAAUCAUAUUAAUAUAAUCAUAUUUCUAUAGCGUUUUUUUAUCGUUCUUGUUGAAAAUUGUUUAUCCGUUCAGUUAGUGAUUCGAUUUUUGUGUUCUGUGUCUUUUUUUGUCUCUUUAGCUAGCAAACGUUAGCUACCAGUAGCUAGCUAAUGUUAGUGCUAACGUUAACAUUAUUAGUUGGUGCAGCAUCUUUAUUGAAAGUUAGGAAGUGAAGAAGAGCAACAUCAAGGUUGAGGCGAGAGGUCAUCUUCAUGGAAUAUUGCUCUGUUCCGUUGUGUACCUCCUCAGCGAAAUACUCCUCGUUGAGUUUUCACUCAUUUCCAAGUGAUACUGAGCUAAGAGUAAAAUGGGUCAUCAAUAUUCGCAGGGAAAAGUUCCCCAUCACAAGUCACUCCCAAGAUUUGUGGUAGACACUUUUUACCACAUGAUUUCAUUGAACCAUGUGUGCUUCGACAUCUGAAGAAGGGAGCAGUACCUUUGCUAUUCCAGUGGAAUAACUAAGCAAGAGCAAGUGUUUGGGAAAGAAGGGAGACCAAGGACUGGAUGUGUAGAGGACAACCAUGUUGAAGAUGGAAAGGAUGAAAAGAUGGAUUGCUAACAUGACCAUGACUACUGUGCAGUGGCUGGGCCCGAUGUAGUUGACCUGGUUUUGAUUGAGAGGGAAGAGAUGCAGAGAGCGAUUGAGGACCUAUUGAACAAAGUAGAGGAGUUGACUGUGAGAAGUUAUUUUGGGCUGCAGCGAUUUGUGGGAUCAGAGGCACAGAUCCAGUCCUUCACAAGGUGGGUAAACCUAGCCCUGCUUAGUAUUGUUACAUCAUAAACUUUACACUGUUUGCUUUCUGGCACCAUUUCCCCUAGCUACCAGCAUUUCUGUCUUAGACUUAUGAGUAAAUAACUCCUAUCAAUGAUUCUUGCCUCAUAUGACCAUCUGAUGGCCUUUUGGUCACUCAUCGAACUGUCAACUGACAAUAUUGUCCUGGUCACAUGAGCAAGGAGAGCCAAGCUGCGGAAUGAGGUGACACUUCCAUGUACCUACUCAAGACAUGCCCUAUCCAUGCUGGAUGAGCUGUUCCACUUCCUCAUGUACUUGUUCUUGGGUUCAACUGAGAUGGACCUCGCUAACCGAUUUGGCAUCCAUCACUCAACAGUAAGCAGGAUCGUUGUCACAUGGGCCAACUACCUUUUACAUUCUGCUGGGGUCUGUCUCUAUAUUGAUGUCUUCGGAAGAUGUCAAGGCUGUGUUGCCGAAGGAGUUCAUUAGGUAUCCAGACACCCAAGUCAUCAUUGACUGUACCGAGUUGAGAUGCCAGUAGCCAGCCAGUCUCCCUCUACACAGUGAGAUGUACUCUCAUUACAAGUCCCACUGUACCUUGAAAGUCCUGCUUGGGAUGGCCCCACAUGGAGCAGUUACUUUUGUGUCAGAAUUGUAUGCUGGCUCCAUCAGCGACGAAGAGCUAUUCAAACAAUCAGGACUGUUUGGCUUGCUCACUGAAGACAUGGCAGUGAUGGCAGACAAGGGGUUCCUGAUUGAUGACUGUGUGCCAGGCAAGGUCUACCGUCCACCCUUUCUGUCUUAACAGAGCCAAAUGCCAGCAGCACAGGUCCAUCAAACGCAAUAGAUUGCUCAUCUUAGAGUCCACAUUGAGAAAUGAAUUGGCAGAAUUAAACUGAAAAAGCUGUGUCAGUCAGAGAUCCCCAUGUCACUGAUGGGACGCAUCAACUGCAUCUGGGCUGUGGCUUGCCUUCUCACAAACUACCAGUGUGGGCCUCUUGCGAAGGCAUAGGCCAAGGAGCUACUACUGCAAUGCAUCUUUCCUUGUUUUGCUGUGACCGUCCACAUUGUCUAACACCUUGUAGUCCAUUUAUUGAUAAACACCACUGCUUAUCCUCCAAACACAAAAUGUUGUAAAGAGUUUUUAUUUACAGUGACAAGAGAACAGAAAAAAUGUAACUGAAUUAUUUGAAAUGAUUUAUUUAUUAAUGUCAGCUGUUGGUGCUGUGCCUUUGAGGAUCCUUUCAGCUAGAUUGCCUGCGGAUGUCAGCCCUCUCACAUGUCAAGCCUCUCGGAACCAUGACGAGGUCAGUCUUGGUUUCCGGAGCACCUGCCAGUCAGAGACAGCACUCUGUUCUUUAGUAGCUUCCUCUAUUUUAAGGGCUGUUGCGAAGCUCACCUGAAAAAAACUAUAGUAGCCAUCCAGGGGGCAGUGAAGGGAAUGAUGGUGUCUCCUUAUGGUGAACUAUGUGUCACGUUGUGAUUGGAGGCUGCUGGUAAGACAGGAGGCUCCCAACCUGUACCUUUCCAAAGUGGGAGCUUUUCAGCAGACAUCCCCAUGCUGCAGAUCAAUGGCUUGGAUAGAGGGUCAAAGUUCUUGUGUGCCUCUUCUAUCUGGAGAACUGAGAGGUCAGGGAGAGGUCCAACAAGGGCGCUGUAGAAUGUACUUCUGCAAAGCAGCCGCUGUGGUUAGCCAAUCUAAACAAUGUACUUGAAACCACCUGAAAUUCAAUUAUUUUAUAUAGUCAAAGUGUAAUAGGACAUGAGCGGUGUCAUGACUCUCUCUCCUUGGUGAGGAUCAAAGGUGCCGGAUAAAGUAGGCAGCCAAACUGACAGUCAGCCAAACUCUCUCUCUCUCUCUGUCCUGGGGGAGUUGGCCCAGUUUUUUAACUUAACAACCGUUAUCGUAAAUACUUUGCAGAAACUCUCCCUUUGCCUCUGCAGUAUUGGGAAAGACAUCCUUUGUAUUACAGAAGAGAGACUCUUGUCCAAAACUUCAAACAAUAGACAUUGGGGCAAAAUACUUCAACAUCCAAACGCUGGGGAUGACGAGGGAUGGCAUAUGGGAAAUUAAUGUCUAUUUUGUGAUGUCAUUAAAAUGAUCAGAAAGACGUUAUAACGGAAACAUUGUAACAAUAAGAGCUUUCACAAUGUAUAUAUCAGAUUUGCAUCUAAAUGUUGUAAAACGUAUGAUUAUUAAAUAUGAAACUAUUUGUAAGUAAAGUAAAUAUAUUUCGAAAAUGUAAAAAAAAACUAUGUAUUAUUAGCUAAUUAGCUAUGGUGCAGGCUAACUCAAAUGAGCUGCUAAAUGAGCUAACUAGUUAACUAUCUAGCCAACUUCACAUACUGUAUAGAUAGCUAACUAAGUGAAUGAAAUAUCACCAUCUACCUAACUCCAUAUUAGCUAGCUAUCUUGAUAUAUUUAUCACUGUAAAAAACAAACUCAAAAUGCAUUUGUAGGUAGCUAGCGAACAGCCAUGGAGGAGGGUGAAAAGAUAGCAGCCCCAACUGUCAGUGAGAGAGUAGGCUAUUCUGGAUAGGGCAGGUACUUUUGUGUAGUUCCUGUCCCUAGAAGUGAGGACGGAGAUAAUAGUAACAUAAUAUUUGGUGUGGUGUAAUUUGACUAUAAUGAAGUCUGUUUCUUGUGAGGUUUUCUGUCCUCAGAUAAAGAGAGCUAUGAAAGCCAGUCUACAUAUGAAGAGGUCCCAAUGAAGAGCAGUGGUUCUCAGUCCUGGUCCUGGGGACUCAAAGGGAUACCUUGUAAUUGGAGAUUCCUUCAAAACCAUUGCCUACAGUUAGCGUGUAGGGCACUGCAAGGUUGGGUGAUCAGGGCCAUCUGGGACUGCCUCCUGGAGGAAUUCAGGUGUGUGAAGGCUACCUGUGUCCUGCAUAACUUCAUGAAGAUGGACACGAGGACCAGGAGUGGAUCUGCAGCUUGCCGCCGUGUGCCAGAGGAGAAGUCUGGUGCUCUGCAGGAUGUUUCAAGGUUGGGGUCCAGCAACGCAGCAAGAGAGGCAAUCCGUGUGCUGGAGCUCGUCACCUCCUACUUCUUCGAAGAGGGUGCUGUUCCCUGGCAACACCAUAGACUACAUUAUGCACAACCAAAGGCUAUUUUAAGAGCCAUCCACAUUGCAAUAAGAGUAUUCUUCCAUUUACUGAGCUAUGUCAACUGCAGUUAUUCAAUUCCCAGUUUCUCUCCCUUUGAUUUCUACUUCUCAGGUGAGGGUGCUGUUUAGAUAAGGGUGUGAUGUCUGUAGAAAAACAAAACAGGCUAUUUAAAUCACCCAUAUUGAAAAAAUGUAGAACAAUUAGACACCCUGUAACCCACACCUACACACUCAUAAGCAGGCUCAGGUGUAUAAAAAAAAGGUAAGAGGGCCAACCAUGGAGAAUAAUAAGACACGUCAUUAUUUCUAUUACCACGCUAUUUUGUUUGUCCUCAUGUGUUCAUUCAUGUUUUUCAGCAUAAAGUACUCUGCAGCUACUUAGUGGACACCAGGUUAUAUCAGCUGUGUUGGUGAACCCCUCCCUCAUCUGAACUGGCUACAUAGAGGGCACAGCAUGAUCAGAGAUGUGUUUUGUUGUGAGAGAGGAUGCCAACCCCCAGUCCCAUCAUCGCAACCUCACCCGCUUUUAAGAUAACCUUCAGGCUGACUAGAGACACUUAUGUAAUUGUGAUGAACUGAGAGAAUAUUUGUGUAGCACUGAUUCAUUAUUCAUAUCCCUGCUCCUAUGUUCUUACCUCUUUCCCUUUCUGUCUUUUACACCUCUCUCGCCACCUCCUCUUUCUUCCUCUGUUUUUAUAAUUCACAACAGAUGUGCAUUGAAGUACAGAUUGAACUUGUAUUUAUAAUAUUACAAUUAUAAUAUUAAUGCAUGUAUUUAUAACACUUGGAUAAUGAACUUCUUUCAAUAAAGUGUUUCACAUUCUCUACU
rnacentral:lncRNA from 1 species